AAUUUUCAGGCAGAUGCCCUCAACCAUCAGGUCUCAUCCAAUUCGCUUAUGUCGACGAUUUUCCGACCCUAAACUACAGAGAUGAAGAGCUUGUUUUGUCUCGAGAUCGGGGGGGGGGGGGGAGGAAGAGCUCGCUUUGUCUUGAUGAUGGGUUGUGUUUGGUUUCUGCAUAAUUGACAUUCGCGAAGCUGCUAGGAUUUCUAGUUGUGGCGCAGCAACGGAAUAGCUGGGUGGAUGAGUUGUUGAAUUUAGGGAAUGAGAAAUCUGAUUACAAUUGGUGCAUUCGGAGCCAGAGGCCAUAACGAUCGGGAUGCAAGAGAGCUGGCAACAAGUGAUGGUUGGUGGUUCUAAUUCAUGAGGGUUUAUAACUCAAAUAUCAGCUAUAUUUACAGCCACCUGCAAAUUUAAAAUGUGAUUGGCUUGCAGAAGAUGUGUGUCUUCUUAAAGAAAAAAUUGCAGAGAAGACGAAUAGCAUUGGAGGACCAAGAUUGGUACUAGGACUUGAGUUUUGUUUUAGAGUGUGAAGCAAAGUCUCUACAUAUUUUGGUGAUUUGGUAUAUUAAUAUAUGAAUUUUAA